rnacentral:lncRNA from 1 species
AUAUCUUGUUUUGGAAAGAUGUUUGGGUGGACAACGAAGAUUUGAAAAGUAAAUUCCCAAGACUGUAUUCUUUAUGAGGUAAUAAAGAAGGUAAUUUAGAGUCUUGCGGAGAGUGGGUUAACGAUAGUUGGGAGUGGAAGUUAGUCUGGAGGAGAGGUCUAUUUGAUUGAGAAAAUAGUCAGGAAGCUCAGCUGUUACAAGAGGUGCAUGGAAAGGCCCCGAUCUUGAGUAUUGAAGAUAGUCGGGUUUGGAAGGUAGGUAAGGAU